GCCCACUACAUAAGUACCACAGUGUACGC
rnacentral:sRNA from 1 species